CAAGAAGCAGCAGUGACUCAGCUAUAAAUAGGUGCUGACAGAGAGAGGCAAGAAGCAGCAGUGACUCAGCUUUAGAUAGGUGCUGACAGAGACAGGCAAGAAGCAGCAAUCUAAAGCUGAGUCACUGCUGCUUCUUGCCUCUCUCUGUCAGCACCUAUUUAUAGCUGAGUCACUGCUGCUUCUUGCCUGUCUCUGUCAGCACCUAUUUAUAGCUGAGUCACUGCUGCUUCUUGCCUGUCUCUGUCAGCACCUAUUUAUAGCUGAGUCACUGCUGCUUCUUGCCUCUCUCUGUCAGCACCUAUUUAUAGCUGAGUCACUGCUGCUUCUUGCCUGUCUCUGGCAGCACCUAUUUAUAGCUGAGUCACUGCUGCUUCUUGCCUGUCUCUGUCAGCACCUAUUUAUAGCUGAGUCACUGCUGCUUCUUGCCUCUCUCUGUCAGCACCUAUUUAUAGCUGAGUCACUGCUGCUUCUUGCCUGUCUCUGGCAGCACCUAUUUAUAGCUGAGUCACUGCUGCUUCUUGCCUGUCUCUGGCAGCACCUAUUUAUAGCUGAGUCACUGCUGCUCCUUGCCUGUCUCUGUCAGCACCUAUCUAAAGCUGAGUCACUGCUGCUCCUUGCCUGUCUCUGGCAGCACCUAUUUAUAGCUGAGUCACUGCUGCUCCUUGCCUGUCUCUGGCAGCACCUAUUUAUAGCUGAGUCACUGCUGCUCCUUGCCUGUCUCUGUCAGCACCUAUCUAAAGCUGAGUCACUGCUGCUUCUUGCCUGUCUCUGGCAGCACCUAUUUAUAGCUGAGUCACUGCUGCUCCUUGCCUGUCUCUGUCAGCACCUAUCUAAAGCUGAGUCACUGCUGCUUCUUGCCUGCUGCCAAACCUGUAGCCUUUCUGGCCCUUUUUCUUGCUGUGCUACACACACACACACACAUACACAUUCACACACACACACAUACACAUACACACACACACACACACACACACACACACACAUACACAUACACAUACACAUACACAUACACAUACACACACACACACACACACACACACACACACACACACACACACACACACAUCUGUUAUCUCCCCCCCCCCCCCACCCCCUUUCCCUCUGACAGACUAGUCCCCCUCAUGCAACAGUCCGCUCCCUCGCUCCCAAUUUAGUCCCCCGCUGCUCCCAGGGACUGGAGCACAGUUGGAGCAUGCUCAGGAGGUGACAGAGCAGCCCCAGUAAAACCCGUCUCUCUCUCUCUCAGCCUGCUCCGUCCACUCCUCUCCCUCUAUCCAGCCCAGCCUCUCUCCAGCGUCAGAGCCAUGGAGCCUUCCCGUGAGGUCCCCUUCCUGGAUGGCCUGACUAUGAAGGAGAUAGCCUCAGCCUCGGCCCCAGACGCCGACGUCUACACCAAGUUCAUGAUGAACCACUGCUGCUACGACGCCAUUCCAACCAGCUCCAAACUGGUCAUCUUCGACACCACCUUGCAGGUAAAGAAAGCUUUCUUUGCUCUGGUGGCGAACGGCGUCCGAGCGGCGCCACUGUGGGAUAACAAGCUGCAGUGUUUUGUAGGCAUGCUGACCAUCACCGACUUCAUCAACAUUCUCCACCGGUAUUGGCAAUCUCCUCUGGUAGAGAUCUACGAACUGGAGGAGCACAAGAUAGAAGACUGUAGAGAGGAAUUUCUGAAGUACUCCAACCAUACUCUGAUCAGUAUCACACCUGACUCCAGCCUUUUUGAUGCCAUCUACUCUCUGCUGAAGUAUAAGAUUCAUCGGCUGCCUGUGAUCGACCCAGAGUCCGGCAACGUCCUGCACAUCCUCACCCACAAACGUAUCCUCAAGUUCCUACAUAUCUUUGGCACCAUGAUCCCGAAGCCUCGGUACCUCCAGAAGAGAAUUGAAGAGGUGGACAUUGGAACGUUUAAAAAGAUUGCUACUGUCCGGGAGACGGACACGGUGUAUGAUGCCCUGGCCAUCUUCGUAGAACGGAGAGUUUCCGCUCUGCCAGUGGUCAACGAGGAGGGGAAAGUCAAGGCCCUGUACUCCAGGUUUGAUGUGAUUAAUCUGGCCGCUCAACAGAACUACAACAAUCUCAACAUGACUAUGCAAGAGGCGAUCAGCAGCAGGGCCUGCUGUGUGGACGGGGUGCUGAAGUGUUACCCUCACGAGACUCUGGAGACUAUCAUCGACCGCAUUGCUAAGGCAGAGGUAGGACUACUUGAUAUGAUAUUUAGUGUGGUUACUUUACUGAAGUGUUUCCCUCACGAGACUCUGGAGACUAUCAUCGACCGCAUUGCUAAGGCAGAGGUUCACCGUCUCGUGCUGGUGGAUAAAGAUGACGUGGUGGGGGGGAUCGUCUCGCUCUCUGACCUCCUCCAGGCCCUGGUCUUGACCCCGGCAGGUAUUGAUGCCCUUUUCUCUUAGCACCUGACUGUGGGGUGGGGGGUCCAUCUAUCACUACCCACCACCUCCCAGCCCCUCCCCAGCCCCAACCCCAGAGAUUUCACGAAGAGCUCAAACUCUGACCACUGAAGAAAAAUCGGGACACUAAUAAUGAAUGAAGACAGAAACUCUGUAAAUAUUUUUGAUCAUGCUCGGUAACUUUAAAAUGCUUUUUAAAAGGUUUAUUAUUUUCUGCAGGAUAACACCAAAACUUUCAUAUUUUUAUAUUCAUACUUAUGUUUGUUUUAGUAUUUGUUUGUAUAAAUGUUUUAUUUAAAUAAUGUACAUUUUAUAAAAUCUCUCCUAUACCGUUCAAAGUAUUAUAUACAGUACAGUUCAAAAGUAUUUUAUAUAUAUACAGUGGGGAGAAGAAGUAUUUGAUACACUGCCGAUUUUGCAGGUUUUCCUACUUACAAAGCAUGUAGAGGUCUGUAAUUUUUGUCAUAGGUACACUUCAACUGUGAGAGACGGAAUCUAAAACAAAAUUCCAGAAAAUCACAUUGUAUGAUUUUUACGUAAUUAAUUUGCAUUUCAUUGCAUGGCAUAAGUAUUUGAUCACCUACCAACCAGUAAGAAUUCCGGCUCUCACAGACCUAGGUGCAGGUCUAGGUGAUUUGUAUGUCUAUGGUGGCCUGAUAUGGUUGCCAAUCAGAGGCAGCUGUUUAUCGUUGUCUCUGAUUGGGGAUCAUAUUUAAGUUGCCAUUUUCCCUUUGGUGUUAGUGGGAUCUUGUCUAUGUGUAGUUGCCUGUCAGCACUCGUUUUGUUAGUUUGUCAGUGUUUCAUUCUUUUAAUAAAUAAGAAUGUACGCAUACCACGCUGCACCUUGGUCCGAUCUUUACAACAAACGUGACAGAAGAACCCACCAGAAAAGGACCAAGCAGCGUGUUCAGAAGGAGCAGACAUCAUGGACAUGGGACCAGAUUUUGGACGGUAAAGGAUCCUGGACGUGGGAGGAAAUAUUGUCAGGAGAGGAUCGCCUACCAUGGAAGCACAGCCACACGAGGAUAUUGGCUGAGUCAGGUUGGAGACCUGAGCCAACUCCUCGUGCUUACCGUGGGGAGCGUGUGACUGGUCAGGCACCGUGUUAUGCAGAGAUGCGCACGGUGUUUCCAGUUUGCAUUCAUAGCCCGGUGCGCUCUAUUCCAGCUCCUCCCAUUGGCCGGGCUAGAAUUGGCAUCCAGCCAGAACGGAUGGUGCCUGCUCAGCGCUCCUGGUCUCCAGUACACUUCCUUGGACCAGGAUAUCCUGCGCCGGCUCUGCGUACUGUGUCUACGGUGCGUCUGCACAGCCCAGUGAGUCCUGUGCCAGCGCCCCGCACUUGCCGGGCUCAAGUGAGCAUCCAGCCAUUACGCAUUGUGCCAGCUCUACGCUCCAGAUCUCCAGUGCACCUCCACAGUCCACACACUUCCUGCUCCUCGCACUCGCUCUGAGGUGCGUGUCAUCAGCCCGGUACCACCAGUUCCGGCACCACGCACCAGGCUUCCAGUGCGCUUCCAUAGUCCAGAGCUUCCGGCGACAGUACCCAGUCCAGAGCUUCCGGUGACAGUACCCAGUCCAGAGCUUCCUGCGACAGUACCCAGUCCAGAGCUUCCUGCGACAGUACCCAGUCCAGAGCUUCCGGCGACAGUACACAGUCCAGAGCUUCCGGCGACAGUACCCUGUCCAGAGCUUCCGGCGACAGUACCCCCAGUCCAGAGCUUCCGGCGACAGUACCCCCAGUCCAGAGCUUCCGGCGACAGUACCCCCAGUCCAGAGCUUCCGGCGACAGUACCCAGUCCAGAGCUUCCGGCGACAGUACCCAGUCCAGAGCUUCCGGCGACAGUACCCAGUCCAGAGCUUCCGGCGACAGUACCCAGUCCAGAGCUUCCGGCGACAGUACCCAGUCCAGAGCUUCCGGCGACAGUACCCAGUCCAGAGCUUCCGGCGACAGUACCCAGUCCAGAGCUUCCGGCGACAGUACACAGUCCAGAGCUUCCGGCGACAGUACCCAGUCCAGAGCUUCCGGCGACAGUACCCAGUCCAGAGCUUCCGGCGACAGUACCCAGUCCAGAGCAUCCGGCGACGGGCCACAGUCCGGGGCCUCUGGCGACGGUCCUCAGUCCAGAGCCCACCCGGACCCUCCCCUAUAGGUUCAGGUUUGCGGCCGGGAGUCCGCACCUUUGGGGGGAGGUGUACUGUCACGCCCUGAUCUGAGAUAUCUCUGUUUUCUUUAUAUUUCGGUUAGGUCAGGGUUUGACUAGGGUGGGUACGUUAGUUUUUGUAUUGUCUAGGGUUUUUUGUAUGUCUAGGUGAUUUGUAUGUCUAUGUUGGCCUGGUGUGGUUCCCAAUCAGAGGCAGCUGUUUUUCGUUGUCUCUGAUUGGGGAUCAUAUUUAGGUAGCCAUUUUCCCUUGGUGUUCGUGUGAUCUUGUCUAUGUGUAGUUGCCUGUCAGCACUUGUUUGUAUAGCUUCACGUUUCGUUUUGUUAGUUUGUUCAGUGUUUCAUUCUUUUAAUAAGAAUGUACGCAUACCACACUGCACCUUGGUCCGAUUCAUACGACGGACGUGACACAGUCAAAGUAUUUUAUAUAUAUACACAGUAUCAAUAGAAGUAUUUUAUAUAUAUAUAUAUAUAUAUAUAUAUAUAUAUAUAUAUAUAUAUAUAUACACAGUACCAGUCAAAAGUUUGGACACACCUACUCAUUCAAGGGUUUUUAUUUAUUUUUACUACUUUCUACAUUGUAGAAAAAUCAGGAUCUGAUACCAAAUCUUUUCAACCUGAGGGGGAAGAACAUUUUCUUUGGUAACAGUAGAAACAGAAAGGUGUAGGGGUUGAGUGGGAGGUAGGACAGCAGUCUGCCAGGGAGGACAGCAGUCUGCCAGGGAGGACAGCAGUCUGCCAGGGAGGACAGCAGUCUGCCAGGGAGGACAGCAGUCUGCCAGGGAGGACAGCAGUCUGCCAGGGAGGACAGCAGUCUGCCGGGGAGGACAGCAGUCUGCCGGGGGGGACAGCAGUCUGCCGGGGAGGACAGCAGCAGUCUGCCGGGGAGGACAGCAGCAGUCUGCCGGGGAGGACAGCAGCAGUCUGCCGGGGAGGACAGCAGCAGUCUGCCGGGGAGGACAGCAGCAGUCUGCCGGGGAGGACAGCAGCAGUCUGCCGGGGAGGACAGCAGCAGUCUUCCAGGACAGGAGUCUCCUGAUGAAGAAGAAACCUCACCUAUGACCUUGCCUACCCCCUGACCCUGCCUACCCCCUGACCUUUGCCUUCUCCCUGACUUUUGCCUUCCCCCUGACCCUGCCUACCCCCUGACCCUGCCUACCCCCUGACCCUGCCUGACCCUGCCUACCCCCUGACCUUUGCCUACCCCCUGACCUUUGCCUACCCCCUGACCUUUGCCUACCCCCUGACCUUUGCCUACCCCCUGACCUUUGCCUACCCCCUGACCUUUGCCUACCCCCUGACCUUUGCCUACCCCCUGACCUUUGCCUACCCCCUGACCUUUGCCUACCCCCUGACCCUGCCUGACCCUGCCUACCCCCUGACCCUGCCUACCCCCUGACCCUGCCUACCCCCUGACCCUGCCUACCCCCUGACCCUGCCUACCCCCUGACCCUGCCUACCCCCUGACCCUGCCUACCCCCUGACCCUGCCUACCCCCUGACCCUGCCUACCCCCUGACCCUGCCUACCCCCUGAUCCUGCCUACCCCCUGACCCUGCCUACCCCCUGACCCUGCCUACUCCCUGACCCUGCCUACCCCCUGACCCUGGCUACCCCUGACCUUUGCCUACCCCCUGACCUUUGCCUACCCCCUGACCUGGAUGCUACUGUCUGUGCCUCAUAACAGUCUUGAAAGGUCAACUUAAAAAAUGUUUGUAAUACUUGGAUCAAUGUAAAAGUAUAUUCAGACAAACAUUAAACAUGUAAAUUAAGUGAAAUUAAAAUAGCCUUACAAUUUGGAUUGUCAUAGCAAUAUUCAUAACAAUCGAACCGUUUAAUUUUGUAGCGGGGUGGAGUCUCUCUCUCUACCUCCAGGAACGUAAAGCGUACAAAUCUUUUGCAGUAGCCAUUAGUAUCAGGUGAUAUCAGUAUCAGGUGAUUUCUUACAUCUUAUUUGUUCUUUAUGCAGUCAUCCAUUGUAAACCAGUCACCUGAAAAGGUGAACAUACAGCUGAGGUUCUAGGCUGACAUUACGGAAACCUGUGUAAAAAGAUUGAUGUUGUCAAUACUGAUUUCACAUUCUACUGAAUUAAAUUUAAUAAAUUGUUACCACUGAA